ensembl:snoRNA
GCGCACAGCGAACACCCAGGGAUGCUACUGUGGCUCUCCCUGGUCUCCUGUGUCUGUGCUACAGUAACUCUGAUUUGUACCUCUGCAUCAGGAGAGCCUCCUUCUCUCCUGCAUGUAUUCAGCGAAUCAGAAUAACC